rnacentral:lncRNA from 1 species
CAACAUAGUGGAGGCCUACAGACUGGAGACAUUACAUCAUAGUGAAGGACUACAGACUGGAGACAUGACAACAUAGUGGAGGCUUACAGACUGAAGACCUAUUGAUUGGAGACAUGACAACAUAGUGGAGGUCAACAGACUGUAGUCAUGACAACAUAGUGGAGUCCUGCAGACUGGGGAUAUGACAACAUAGUGGAGGCCUACAGACUGGAGUCAUGACAACAUAGUGGAGUCCUGCAGACUAGGGAUAUGACAACAUAGUGGAGGCCUACAGACUGGAGACAUUACAACAAAUUGGAGGCCUGCAGACUGGAGGCCUGCAGUCUGUAGACAUGACAACAUAGUGUAGGUCUACAGACUGGAGACAUUACAUCAUAGUGAAGGCCUAAAGACUGGAGACAUUACAUCAUAGUGGAGGCCUACAGGCUGGAGACAUUACAUCAUAGUGGAGGCCUACAGACUGGAGACAUUACAUCAUAGUGGAGGCCUGCAGACUGGAGACAUUACAUCAUAGUGUAGGCCUACAGACUGGAGACAUUACAUCAUAGUGGAGGCCUACAGACUGGAGACAUUACAUCAUAGUGGAGGCCUAUAGACUGGAGACAUUACAUCAGAGUGGAGGACUACGGACUGGGGACAUGACAUUAUAGUGGAAGACUACAGACAUGGCAACAUAGUGGAGGAAAACAGACUGGAGACAUUACAUAUUAGUGGAGGCCUGCAGACUGGGGAUAUGACAACAUAGUGGAGGCCUACAGACUGGAGACAUUACAUCAUAGUGGAGGCCUACAGACUGGAGACAUUACAUCAUAGUGGAGGCCUACAGACUGGAGACAUUACAUCAUAGUGGAGGACUACUGACUGGGGACAUGACAUUAUAGUGGAAGACUACAGACAUGGCAACAUAGUGGAGGCCUACAGACUGGAGACAUGACAUCAUAGUGGAGGACUCCAGACUGGAGACAUGACAUCAUAGUGGAGGCCUACAGACUGCAGACCUGCAGACUGGAGACAUGACAACAUAGUGGAGGCCUACAGACUGGAUACAUGACAACAUAGUGGAGGCCUACAGACUGGAGACAUGACAACAUAGUGGAGUCCUGCAGACUGGAGUCAUGAUAACAUAGUGGUGACCUACAGACUGGGAACAUGACAACAUAGUGGUGAACUACAGACUGGAGACAUUACGACAUAGUGGAGGCCUACAGACUGGAGACAUUACAACAUAGUGGAGGCUUACAGACUGAAGACCUAUUGAUUGGAGACAUGACAACAUAGUGGAGGACUUCAGACUGAAGUCAUCACAACACAGUGGAGGCCUACAGACUGGAGUUAUGACAACAUAGUGGAUGCCUACAGACUGGAGACAUGACGACAUAGUGGAGGCCAAUAGACUGGAGACAUGACAACAUAGUAGAGGCCUACAGACUGGAGACAUGACAACACAGUGGAGAGCUACAGACUGGAGUCAUGACAACAUAGUGGAUGCCUACAGACUGGAGACAUGACGACAUAGUGGAGGCCAAUAGACUGGAGUCAUGACAACAUAGUGGAGGCCUACAGACUGGAGUCAUGACAACAUAGGGGGGGCCUACAGACUGGAGACAUGACAACAUAGUGGAGUCCUACAGACUGGAGACAUGACAACAUAGUGGAGGCCUACAGACUGGAGACAUGACAACAUAGGGGGGCCUACAGACUGGAGACAUGACAACAUAGUGGAGGCCUACAGACUGGAGACAUGACAACAUAAUGGAGGCCUACAGACUGGAGACUUGACAACAUAGGGGGGGCCUACAGACUGAAGACAUGAUAACAUAGUGGAGGCCUAUGGACUGGAGUCAUGACAACAUAGUAGAGUCCUGCAGACUGGGGAAAUGACAACAUAGUGGAGGCCUACAGACUGGAGACAUUACAACAGAGUGGAGGCCUACAGACUGGAAACAUGACAACAUAGUGGAGGCCUACAGACUGGAGUCAUGACAACAUAGUAGAGUCCUGCAGACUGGGGAUAUGACAACAUAGUGGAGGCCUACAGACUGGAGACAUUACAACAUAGUGGAGGCCUGCAGUCUGGAGACAUUACAUCAUAGUGGAGGACUACGGACUGGGGACAUGACAUUAUAGUGGAAGACUACAGACAUGGCAACAUAGUGGAGGCCUGCAGACUGGAGAUAUGACAACAUAGUGGAGGCCUACAGUCUGGAGACAUUACAACAUAGUGGAGGCCUGCAGACUGCAGACAUGACAACAUGGUGUAGGCCUACAGACUGGAGACAGGACAUCAUAAUGGAGGACUACGGACUUGGGACAUGACAUUAUAGUGGAAGACUACAGACAUGACAACAUAGUGGAGGCCUACAGACUGGAGACAUUACAUCAUAGUGGAGGCCUACAGACUGGAGACAUUACAAAAUAGUGAAGACUACAGACUGGAGACAGGCCAACAUAGUAGAGGCCUACAGACUGGAGACAUGACAACAUAGUGGAUGCCUACAGACUGGACACAUGACAUCAUAGUGGAGGCCUACAGACUGGAGACAUGACAUAAUAGUGGAGGCCUACAGACUGGAGACCAGCAGACUGGUGACAUGACAACAUAGUGGAGGCCUACAGACUGGAGACAUGACAACAUAGUGGAGUUCUGCAGACUGGGGAUAUGACAACAUAGUGGAGGCCUACAGACUUGAGACAUUACAUCAUAGUGGAGACCUACAGACUGGAGGCCUGCAGUCUGGAGACUUGACAACAUAGUGGAGGCCUACAGACUGGAGACAUUACAUCAUAGUGGAGGACUACGGACUGGGGACAUGACAUUAUAGUGGAGGACUACGGACUGGGGACAUGACAUCAUAGUGGAGGCCUACAGACUGGAGACAUGACAUCAUAGUGGAGGACUACAGACUGGGGACAUGACAUUAUAGUGGAGGACUAUGGACUGGGGACAUGACAACAUAGUGGAGGCCUACAGACUGGAGACCAGCAGACUGGAGACAUGACAACAUAGUGGAGGUCUACAGACUGGAGACAUGACAACAUAGUGGAGGCAUACAGACUGGAGUCAUGACAACAUAGUGGAGGCCUACAGACUGGAGACAUGACAACAUAGUGGAGGCCUACAGACUGGAGUCAUGACAACAUAGUGGAGGCAUACAGACUGGAGUCAUGACAACAUAGUGGAGGCCUACAGACUGGAGACAUGACAACAUAGUGGAGGCCUACAGACUGGAGACAUGACAACAUAGUGGAGGCCUGCAGUCUGGAGACAUGACAACAUAGUGUAGGCCUACAGACUGGAGACAUUACAUCAUAGUGGAGGACUACGGACUGGGGACAUGACAUUAUAGUGGAGGACUACGGACUGGGGACAUGACAUUAUAGUGGAAGACUACAGACAUGGCAACAUAGUGGAGGCCCACAGACUGGAGACAUGACAUCAUAGUGGAGGCCUACCGACUGGAGACAUGACAACAUAGGGGGGCCUACAGACUGGAGACAUGACAACAUAGUGGAGGCCUACAGACUGGAGACAUGACAACAUAGUGGAGGCCUACAGACUGGAGACUUGACAACAUAGGGGGGGCCUACAGACUGAAGACAUGAUAACAUAGUGGAGGCCUACAGACUGGAGUCAUGACAUCAUAGUGGAGGCCUACAGACUGGAGACAUUACAACAGAGUGGAGGCCUACAGACUGGAGACAUGACAACAUAGUGGAGGCCUACAGACUGGAGUCAUGACAACAUAGUAGAGUCCUGCAGACUGGGGAUAUGACAACAUAGUGGAGGCCUACAGACUGGAGACAUUACAACAUAGUGGAGGCCUGCAGUCUGGAGACAUUACAUCAUAGUGGAGGACUACGGACUGGGGACAUGACAUUAUAGUGGAAGACUACAGACAUGGCAACAUAGUGGAGGCCUGCAGACUGGGGAUAUGACAACAUAGUGGAGGCCUACAGUCUGGAGACAUUACAACAUAGUGGAGGCCUGCAGACUGCAGACAUGACAACAUGGUGUAGGCCUACAGACUGGAGACAGGACAUCAUAAUGGAGGACUACGGACUUGGGACAUGACAUUAUAGUGGAAGACUACAGACAUGACAACAUAGUGGAGGCCUACAGACUGGAGACAUUACAUCAUAGUGGAGGCCUACAGACUGGAGACAUUACAAAAUAGUGAAGACUACAGACUGGAGACACGCCAACAUAGUAGAGGCCUACAGACUGGAGACAUGACAACAUAGUGGAGGCCUACAGACUGGAGACAUGACAUAAUAGUGGAGGCCUACAGACUGGAGACCAGCAGUCUGGAGACAUGACAACAUAGUGGAGGCCUACAGACUGGAGACAUUACAUCAUAGUGGAGGACUACGGACUGGAGACAUGACAUUAUAGUGGAGGACUACGGACAUGACAUCAUAGUGGAGGCCUACAGACUGGAGACAUGACAUCAUAGUGGAGGACUACAGACUGGGGACAUGACAUUAUAGUGGAGGACUAUGGACUGGGGACAUGACAACAUAGUGGAGGCCUACAGACUGGAGACCAGCAGACUGGAGACAUGACAACAUAGUGGAGGUCUACAGACUGGAGACAUGACAACAUAGUGGAGGCAUACAGACUGGAGUCAUGACAACAUAGUGGAGGCCUACAGACUGGAGACAUGACAACAUAGUGGAGGCCUACAGACUGGAGUCAUGACAACAUAGUGGAGGCCUACAGACUGGAGACAUGACAACAUAGUGGAGGCCUACAGACUGGAGACAUUACAACAUAGUCAAGGCCUAGAGACUGGAGGCCUGCAGUCUGGAGACAUGACAACAUAGUGUAGGCCUACAGACUGGAGACAUUACAUCAUAGUGGAGGACUACGGACUGGGGACAUGACAUUAUAGUGGAGGACUACGGACUGGGGACAUGACAUUAUAGUGGAAGACUACAGACAUGGCAACAUAGUGGAGGCCCACAGACUGGAGACAUGACAUCAUAGUGGAGGCCUACCGACUGGAGACAUUACAUCAUAGUGGAGGCCUACAGACUGGAGACAUUACAUCAUAGUGGCCUACAGACUGGAGACAUUACAUCAUAGUGGAGGCCUACAGACUGGAGACAUUACAUCAUAGUGGAGGACUACGGACUGGGGACAUGACAUUAUAGUGGAAGACUACAGACAUGGCAACAUAGUGGAGGCCUACAGACUGGAGACAUUACAACAUAGUGGAGGCCUACAGACUGGAGGCCUACAGACUGGAGACAGGACAACAGAGAGAAUGCCUACACACCGGAGGUCUGCAGACUGGAGACAUGACAAUGUAGCGGAGGCCUACAAACUUUAGACAUUACAACAUAGUGGAGGCCUACAGACUGGAGAUAUGACAACAUAGUGUAGGCCUACAGACUGGAGACAUUACAAGUUAGUGGAGCCUUGCGGAUUCCCUCCCUGAGUAUCCCCAUCCCCAAACUUCUAAAAACCCACCUCUUAAAUGAAUAUCUUGACUAAAUACCAGUGCACACAGGUUUUGUUGUUUUAGUUCUCUCUCUCUUUCCCUCCAUCUUUUCCAGUGGUGUAUCUCUUGUUGUCUUUCGUUCUCUCUCUCAGUCUGAUGGAGUUCCUCCCUUCAUCUCUCGUGACGAAGCCACGAUCAAGGCCGAGACAGACAGCUUGUUUUCACAAGGCAGCAGGCGCUCACACAGACACAGACACAUACACACACACACACACACAUCUGGAUCCCAUCAGCGCUUUGGAGUAGCCUGCAGACUCAGGCUUUCAGAGCAGAGCAGGCUGUGUGCUCAGGCCUGGCUCUCUGGCCAAAUUAGCUGAUAGAACCAGAUAAGCUUUUGUUUCAGAUUAGGAACAGAGCUCUACGUUUGGUGACUGCUGG